rnacentral:lncRNA from 1 species
UUUUUUUUUUUUUUUUGCUCUGUAAUCUGGAGGUUCUAAUGGGAGAAGUGAGAGCAGAAAAGGGAAGCACAGGAACCUACUGAGGAAUCCACUUGCAAAGAGUAUGUUGCGUCUUAAAAACAUAACACCGUUUUUACAUUUUGAAACCAAUCUCAGGAAGCUCCUUUUAAUUUUUCCUCAUUUUGUUGAUAGGGAUUGAUUUGAUUACAAAAUUUGAGGUUGUGAUGUCUCUUUUUUUAAAAAAAAAAAAAAAAACAGGUUGCUGCAUCUACCUUUAUCCCUGACUGCCUUGAAGUUGAAGGCUCUGUGGCUAUCUGACAACCAGUCCCAGCCCCUGCUUACAUUCCAGACAGACACAGACUACACCACAGGAGAGAAGAUUUUAACCUGUGUCUUACUUCCUCAGCUGCCUUCUGAACCUACUUGUCAAGAGAAUCUGCCUCGCUGUGGUGCACUGGAGAACUUGGUAAAUGAUGUCUCUGAUGAAGCCUGGAACGAGCGUGCUGUCAACAGAGUCAGUGCGAUCCGAUUUGUGGAGGAUGAGAAAGAUGAAGA